rnacentral:rRNA from 1 species
AUUGAACGCUGGCGGAAUGCUUUACACAUGCAAGUCGAACGGCAGCAUAGGUGCUUGCACCUGAUGGCGAGUGGCGAACGGGUGAGUAAUACAUCGGAACGUGCCCAGUCGUGGGGGAUAACGUAGCGAAAGUUACGCUAAUAACGCAUACGAUCUAAGUAUGAAAGCGGGGGACCGUAAGGCCUCGCGCGAUUGGAGCGGCCGAUGUCAGAUUAGGUAGUUGGUGGGGUAAAGGCUCACCAAGCCGACGAUCUGUAGCUGGUCUGAGAGGACGACCAGCCACACUGGGACUGAGACACGGCCCAGACUCCUACGGGAGGCAGCAGUGGGGAAUUUUGGACAAUGGACGCAAGUCUGAUCCAGCCAUUCCGCGUGCAGGACGAAGGCCUUCGGGUUGUAAACUGCUUUUGUACGGAACGAAAAAGCUCUUACUAAUACUAGGAGUCCAUGACGGUACCGUAAGAAUAAGCACCGGCUAACUACGUGCCAGCCGCCGCAGUAAGAC